rnacentral:lncRNA from 10 species
CACGGGAUGGUGAUGAUGGUCUUUAUUGAAGCAUCUGAAGAUGGAGCAUUCAGCCAGUCGGGAGUGUCUUGAGAUCCUGAGCAGCCAAGAAAUCCUAGGGCCUUCUCUUGUAUCUUUUCCAUGCUGAAAAACACAAAACCCCGAAAUGGGUGAAGAAGGAAAUGCUCAUCUUGACGAGUGGGGGAGAUGAAGUCAUGAGAUCAUAAAUGCCAGACUGUCUAAGUGCAGGGAGUAAACUGUCCUGCUGAGCCCACAGGCCCCUGGGACAGCCUGUUGGUCUGCACUGCACUCCGGGAAACAUGCACCGCAUUCGCAGGUUUAUAUCAGUGGUCCUCAACCCUGUUGCCCAUGAGAAGAUUCUACUUCAUUGAUCUGAGGUGAACCGUGCACACUGGCAUUUUCUUAAAAUUCCCCAAGGAUUAUAAUGUAAAACCAGGAUUGAGAACUUCUGGUUGGGGGAAGGUCUCCCUGUGAAUAAAUCACAAACGGCUGGCGACAAGUUUUGGGUCACCUCACUCCUCUCAGCUUUCAACUUAUACCAGAAUAUACCAGGAUAUAGAAUGGCAUCUUGACCAUCUCCUCGCCCCCAGCAAAUUCUUUCUCUUGCAUGAGCUUCUUUUGUAUCCCUAAUCACACUGCAUUGUCAUUAUUUCCAUAAAUAUCUCCCCUACAAGACCUUGAGUUCUUUGAGGUAAGGAAAUAUACAUCUCAUUUCAUCUUUAUUAUUCCUGGUACCUAGCACAUAGUAGUUGCUCAGGAAAGAUUUCUGGAACUGAUUUUAAGAAUGUCACAUCAUAGCCCCAGCCAUGGUGCUAUGGAACAGAUGCCUGUGUCCCCCAAAAUUCUUAUGUUCAAAUCCUAACCAUGAAGGUGAUGGUAUUAGGGGGUGGGCCUUUGAGAGCUGAUUAGGUCACCCUAAUGGAAUUAGUGUCCUUAUGAAAGAAGCCUCUUUCUCCUUCUGCCCCGUGAGGUUACAGUGAAAAGAUGGUUGUCUAUGAAGCAGGCCCUCCUCAGAUGCCGAAUUUACUGGCACCUUGAUCUUUGGACUUCCUUGCCUCUAGAACUAUGAGAAAUUUUUGUUGUUUAUAAGCCACCAGUUUAUAGCAAUUUGCUAUAGCGCCCUAUAAUGGACUAAGACACAUGGCCACCAUUUUAU